rnacentral:piRNA from 1 species
UACAUCUUUUGUAUCUGCCCACUCAUUUGA